rnacentral:rRNA from 1 species
UACGUAGGGGGCAAGUGUUGUCCGGAUUCAUUGGGCGUAAAGAGCGUGUAGGCGGCCAGGUAGGUCGGUUGUGAAAACUGGAGGCUCAACCUUCAGACGUCGACCGAAACCAUCUGGCUAGAGUCCGGGAGAGGAGAGUGGAAUUCCUGGUGUAGCGGUGAAAUGCGCAGAUAUCAGGAAGAACACCCGUGGCGAAAGCGGCUCUCUGGAACGGUACUGACGCUGAGACGCGAAAGCGUGGGGAGCGAACAGG